rfam:Aminobacter sp. Root100 contig_6, whole genome shotgun sequence.
UGUCCAUGCCCUCCUUGGGCGUUUCCUCCCUAGACUUCGACCGCUCUCCGGAGCGGUCUUUUUUUAACCUGAU